UGUCGUCAGCUCGUGUCGUGAGAUGUUGGGUUAAGUCCCGCAACGAGCGCAACCCUCGCCCUUAGUUGCCAGCAUUUAGUUGGGCACUCUAAGGGGACUGCCGGUGAUAAGCCGAGAGGAAGGUGGGGAUGACGUCAAGUCCUCAUGGCCCUUACGGGCUGGGCUACACACGUGCUACAAUGGUGGUGACAGUGGGCAGCGAGCACGCGAGUGUGAGCUAAUCUCCAAAAGCCAUCUCAGUUCGGAUUGCACUCUGCAACUCGAGUGCAUGAAGUUGGAAUCGCUAGUAAUCGCGGAUCAGCAUGCCGCGGUGAAUACGUUCCCGGGCCUU
rnacentral:rRNA from 1 species